AAACUACUCCCUCCGUCCGGAAAUACUUGUCGGAGAAAUAGAUGUAUCUAGACGUAUUUUAGUUCUAGAUACAUCCAUUUUUAUCCAUUUUUUCGACAAGUAUUUCCGGACGGAGGGAGUAUUUA
rnacentral:pre_miRNA from 1 species